UAUAGAGUAUUAAUAUACUAAUAAACUAAAAGAACCUUAAAAUGAAAAAAAUCAAGUGACAAUAUACCUUUUAAAAAAAAUAUUAUCGUAUUAAACACACAAAUAUUAGUCGUCAAAGCAAAAAUGAGCGCACAUUACCAUAUUUGGGGGAUUCAAAUUCGUUUAACCAAAUUUAUUGUAUUCCGAUUCAGAUACACAUUGCUUAAUGCAAAUUAAAUUUUUGGAUAACGCUCUCUGAGUCUCCCUUUUCCAAACUCAACCUCUCUAUAAAUUUUUGGGUGUGAUAAACCAAAGUCCCCACUUUUAGUCCUUUAGUCAUCAAUAUGGACAAGUACUCUUGGAACAACUCUGGUUUGUUGGUGGUCUUGAUCUUGCUCUUGGUAACUCUGGGUUGUAAAAUUGAAGUGAGUGAAGGCAGGAGAGUAAUAUCAUUUAGAUGCGCAGUAAACCAAGAUUGCCUAACCAUCUGCAAUGGAUGCGCCAAUUGCCAAUGUGUCAACACUUGGUGCCAAUGCGUUGGUGACUGGCCGCCACCAACCUCCACAAACUCAUCACCUCCAACACCUUAAUUAAUCAAUUCGUCAUAAUUUCAAUGAAUUUCUUAUUUAUAAUAAUACAUAAUUGAUGUCUAUCUUUAAAAGAAAAGGAAGAAAAAAAUCAUGUAUCGUACUAAGCUAAGUACCUAUUAUAUAUAAAUGCAUAACAUAUAUUGUUGUGGUUUAUGAUAAUAUACUUUUUCUUUCUCUCAUAACAGAUUUUUCUUAUU